rnacentral:tRNA from 1 species
AUUUUUACAUUAGUAUAAAAAGUAUAAUUCUUUUUUAAGCAAUUGUUUUAAUAAAUAUUUAAAGUAAAAUA